rnacentral:rRNA from 1 species
GACGAACGCUGGCGGCGUGCUUAACACAUGCAAGUCGAACGAUGAAGCCGGAGCUUGCUCCGGUGGAUUAGUGGCGAACGGGUGAGUAACACGUGAGCAAUCUGCCCUUGACUCUGGGAUAACUGCGGGAAACUGUAGCUAAUACCGGAUACGACACCUUGGGGCAUCCCAGGGUGUGGAAAGAAUUUCGGUCAAGGAUGAGCUCGCGGCCUAUCAGCUAGUUGGUGAGGUAAUGGCUCACCAAGGCGACGACGGGUAGCCGGCCUGCGAGGGUGACCGGCCAGACUGGAACUGAGACACGGUCCAGACUCCUACGGGAGGCAGCAGUGGGGAAUAUUGCACAAUGGGCGAAAGCCUGAUGCAGCAACGCCGCGUGAGGGAUGGAGGCCUUCGGGUUGUAAACCUCUUUUAGCAGGGAAGAAGCGAAAGUGACGGUACCUGCAGAAAAAGCACCGGCUAACUACGUGCCAGCCGCCGCGGUAA